rnacentral:rRNA from 1 species
AAACUUAAAGGAAUUGACGGAAGGGCACCACCAGGAGUGGAAUCUGCGGCUUAAUUUGACCCAACGCGGGAAAACUCACCAGGUCAGGACACGGUAAGGAUUGACGGACUGAAGGCUCUUUCUCGAUUCCGUGGAAAGUGGUGCAUGGCCGUUUUUGGUUGGUGGAUCGAUCCGUCUGGUUAAUUCCGUUAACGAACGAGACCUCGGCACUCCGAAUAGCGCGGCGGACGUCGCGGCCUCCGGGCCGUCUUCCGCACGAGCUUCUUAGAGGGACCGUCCCCCGCCGGGGAAGGAGGUGCGAGGCAACGACAGGUCUGUGAUGCCCUUAGAUGUUCUGGGCCGCACGCGCAUUACACUGACGCGUCCAACGGGUGACUCCCGACCCGAAGGGGCCGGGGAAUCCGCAAGGCGCGUCGUGAUGGGGAUUGAACGUUGCAAUUGUUGUUCACGAACGAGGAAUUCCUAGUAGGCGCGGGUCAUCAACCCGCGCCGAUUACGUCCCUG